rnacentral:misc_RNA from 1 species
GAAAUGCGAUAAGUAAUGUGAAUUGCAGAAUUCAGUGAAUCAUCGAAUCUUUGAACGCACAUUGCGCCCGCCAGUAUUCUGGCGGGCAUGCCUGUCCGAGCGUCAUUUCAACCAUCAAGCCCCCGGGCUUGUGUUGGGGACCUGCGGCUGCCCGCAGGCCCUGAAAACCAGUGGCGGGCUCGCUGUCACACCGAGCGUAGUAGCAAUCACCUCGCAGCGGGACAGCGGUCUGACCACGCCGUAAAACCCCCAACUUCUCAAGGUUGACCUCGAAUCAGGUAGGAAUACCCGCUGAACUUAAGC